rnacentral:rRNA from 1 species
AUGGAUUUUUCCGCCUAAAGAAAAGCUCGCGGCUGAUUAGCUAGUUGGUAAGGUAAUGGCUUACCAAGGCGACGAUCAGUAUCUGGUUUGAGAGGACGAUCAGACACACUGGAACUGAGACACGGUCCAGACUCCUACGGGAGGCAGCAGUGGGGAAUUUUCCGCAAUGGGCGAAAGCCUGACGGAGCAAUACCGCGUGAGGGAAGACAGCCUACUGGGUUGUAAACCUCUUUUUUCAGGGAGGAAAAAAAUGACGUGUUCCUGAAGAAUAAGCAUCGGCUAACUCCGUGCCAGCAGCCGCGGUAAGAA